CUCAGCACAGGCCAGUUCCGAGCAGCUGACAGUCGGCCUCUCUGACUUCUCUUUCCGAAGUGAGAUCAUGUAAAGAAUAAACACAGAAAAUGCUGGAAAUACUCAACAGGUCUGGCAGCAUCUGUGGUGAGAGAAUUGUGACCUUUCAUCAGAACUGGAAGAGUUACAAAUAUAACAGCUUUCGUGUCUGUGAAAUGAAAGAAGGUGGAUAAAGACAAAAAGGGAAGGGUGGAAGAUGGGAGACAUUAAAUCCAAAAAGAAUUGGUGGGGCAGAGCCAAAGAGAAAAGUAAUGGGGCAAGUAAAUAAACAAAAUAUGCGUUCAGAGGAAGUGUGAAUGACAUUGAUAAUAUUGCAUUGUUGGCAGACUCACCUCGGCAUCUACUGAGCUCUGCUUACCCAGAAUAAUGAACAGCUGCCAUUUGAAUGCAAAUCGAGAAAAAUAUGAUUAAGGCUGACACAUGCAAAGAAAAGGAACCAAAUUGGGGGAGCAGAGAUUAUGGUCUGAAAAUGUUGAACUCAGUGUUGAGUCCAGAAGACUAUAAAGUGCCUACUCAAAAGAUGAAGUGCUGUUUGUUCCUUGAUCUUGAGUUCAGCUUCAUUGGAACACAGCAGGAGGUCAAGGACAAAGAUCUCAUGCAAGAUGGACAAUUGAAAUGACAGGUCACUGGAAGCUUAGAGUCAUGCCUGCGGACUGAACAGAGGUGCUCCGCAAAGCUACUCUUGAUGCGGUCUCCUCUACAAUGGGCAGACCAAACGGAGAUUUGCUGACAGCUUUGUGGAACAGUUCCAUUGUCUUAUAACUAAAAUUGUUAAACAGGUGUAAAUGUGUGCCUUAAGUGAAAAGUCUGUAUAAUAUAUGCAGCUAACAAAUAUUUUUUUCACUGCAAAUGGGAUCCAAGGUACAGGUGUUCAGAAAGUAGUAGGAAGAGAUCAUGCCAAACUUAAUUUUGAAUUGUGGAGAGAAGUCACAUUCAGCUGAAAUACAAGUGCAUACAAAGCAAAAAAAAAGCCCAGAUUGUCUGAUUCAUGUUCUCCUUUGUUGGAAUUACAUCAUCACUUAUUGCUGUUGGCUACAGCUGUUACUGAAUUUAGUGUAAUAAAUCAAGAAUUUUGCUAAUUCCACAUUUUGGCUUCUACAAAAGUUACUUUUACUUUUUCAACAGCCCAUCUACGUUAAAAUACAUUGGAAUUCUCUUUUCUAGAGCUUAAGGCCCUGCCUUGAAUUUAUUGUUUUAAUUUACUGUGCUGUGCCCAUCUCCAUUAUCAGAUUCAACAUACACUUGUAAAUAGUUUUGAAAUCUCAAAAAGCAAGUCAAAAUAUCAUUUCCUCAGAAUCUUUCAGCAAUAUCUAAAUUUAUCAAGGCAGUUCAUACAAUCAGGCAAAUAAUUGGACUGAAAUCAAUUGACAACACAAAUACAAGGCUUGUGGUAGAUAAACAAUGGCACAGCAAUUUAAGCUGUGUAGGUUUGGUUUGUUUAUUUUUAAACUACUGACCAAUGCUAGGAACUGCCAGCUAUAGUCAAAAAGUCUGGUUUUGACAUGUGAGAGAAAUAUUUAGGGCAAAUACAUAUGACUUUAUAUAAGACUGAGAUUUUGUAAACCUCAGAAGGAACUUAUUUACAUUGUUUUUAUCAAUAUCAUUAUGCCUAGUCUUUGAAUAAACUGGAAAUGUUGAAAGUA